rnacentral:lncRNA from 1 species
CCGGACCGUGACAGGUGCUGCUAAGAAGCCAAGUUCCUCUUAGGCUGCAACCAUCAGGUGUGAGAGGAGGACGCUUUGUGCGGGCAGCAGGGCCACCCCCCUUCAUGGUGAGGAAGCUGCUCCAGGCCUGGAAGCAGGAGGCUGGGUGUCUGAGAGGGUCCGUCAUACGGGGCCCGGACUCCACGCUGGAGGUCCGUCCUGGGAGCCCUGCUCUAGGGGCGCGUGGCCCCUGGCUCCUAAGGACGAGGUUAUGGGGCUGGGCUUUAGGUUCUGAGCCGUGCGUCAGUGGCGGGGCUCGGUGUAACCCUGGACAACCGGUCCGGAAUCCGCGGGGUGGCUCUGCUUGUGCAACAAAGGAACAGACCUGUGAGCUGGGGCCUCGUGUCCACUGGGGAGGAGCUGGGAGGCCCUUGAGCAGGGAGGGCUCUGCCUGUGGUGACAGGAGCGGGAGCGGGGGGGGGGCAGUGUUUGCUCAGUAGAGGGGGAGGGGGCUGCCUCCUGUGGGGGCCCCAGGGUCGGGGGAGCGUCCCUGGGGCCAGGGCCCUGAAGGCGAUCCAGGGACGGUCUGGACCAAUGAAACCACGGAUGUGGGGGCCACUUUGGAUCUGCACAAACAGGGCCAUCUAGUGGCUCAGCCCGAUACGUCCCCUGGGAGGCGUGACAAUGACCCAUCCUGUCCAAUUUUGAGGUUCCCAGGUCCCCAGACAUAAGCGACUUGUCCACAAAAAACACAGGCUUGACUUCUCCUGAGUUUAGACGUGUCACUGCCAGCCUUGGGGUCAUAGGUGGUGGGGGAACGGGGUUCCUUUGGGGUGUGCAUCAGUGCAGAGCGCCCGGGCGCGGUGUGUCUCUGCGGGAGCAGAUGGUUGGUGCCGACGGCCCUGGGGAGCUGCCGGGACGUGCUUCUAUCUUUGGCAACAAGAGGAAAUUCUAGAUCAAUCUACCCACGAGGUCCGGGGAUGGUCCUGCCUGUUCCAAGGGGGCCGGUCUCGGCAGGGGCCAGGCUUGCGGCCCCUCCGCGUCACAGCAGGCAGGCGGGCAUCUGGCUUCGGGACGGUCUCCUGUUCCACGGUGAACACACGCUAGAGAGGCACAGCCACCUCGCUCUGCUCAUGGCGCGUCUGCAGCACGUUAACAGCGCAGGCAGGGCCCGCCAAGCCAGAGGCAGGAGGGGCGGCAGUGGGAGGCUGGAGGCCGUCACAGCUGGUCCCCAGAGCUGGUCCCCAGGGGUGGCCCUCGCCGCCCCAGGGGCCUCUGGGAAACUCGCCCCAGGCCUCACGGGGGUUCCUCGGCCUGUUGGCCUCAGAAGAGGAGGACUGCUGUGGGGUCGGUGGGGCAACGGAAACACGCCGGUGCCGGCAGGAGCGCAGCCCUGCGGUGGGGUUAGCUUCCUCUGUCCCUGUCGCAGAGAGAGUCAGUCAUCACUCUUCAGAAGGGUGCCGUCCACACUCAUGCGCAGCUCCCAGGGGGCCAGAGCCAGAGCCCGUGAACUUGGGCUUCCUGUGCCGGUGGCGAGCACGACCUUAUUUAGCAUGAGGUCACACUGGAGGGGGUGGCCCUGGACAGGGAAGGGAAGGUGCAGACGCAGACGCAGACGGGAGGAGGCCAGGUGACCUCCUGGGGGCGGAGAUUGGAGAACGCCCAAGACGGUGGGAAACUGCCAGAAGCGGCGGGGAGGGUGUGGAUUAAGGCCCCAGCCUGCAGAGCUGAGAGGUGGGUCGUCGGGGCUGUGGACCUUCACUCUGGCCCCGCCUGGAACGGACGCAGGUGGACUCGAGGCGUAGGGGCGGAUGCUGAAACGCCAGCUGCUCCCUCCAGCACUGGUGCCUGAGCAAGGGGUCCCCUCCAGACCGGUGUGGCGAGGAGACCCACGACUGCCCGUGGCACCUGCGGAGCCACAGACGCCUGGGCCCAGACCUCAGCCUCAGGGCAGUGUCACCAGAAGUGUCCCCCGAAGCAGUGCCUUUCGCACUCCUCAGCUUGCUCUCUCUAAACGAGCUUCGCCAGCACGUGCCUUCACUCAUUCUGUUCCUCGGCUCCCUGUUCUUUCACAGGCUGAUACCAACCCAGUCAACCCUUUCUGCAGCUGGAAGACCCCUGGCUUGCCCCCCGUUCUGUGGAAGGGUGUCAGCGGCCAGGCCAGGCGGAGGGGACCAGCCGUGUCCCAGCCCCCAGCAGGGAGAGGCUCCCCGCAGCUGGAGCCAGAUCUCGCCCGAUCUUCCUCUGCUUCAGCCGCAGGUCGUCCUUGCCUGUUGCCUUCAGUGACCCCAGGGAACGUUCCCUUACCUUCUCUCCUGCCGUCUUCCAGGCCAGUGCCCCGUGGCCACAGCAUCCUCUUCUGGCACAGUUUCCCCGCCUGACCCCACAAGACAGUGAGUGUCCUGGGCGAGCUGUCGGCGGGCUUCCCGUGUGGACCCUGGAAGCUGCACCUUAGGGACAGCAGCAGCUCCGUCCAGCAGCAUUGGAGCUGCUUGUGCAGCUUGACCAUCGUGGACUUUGCCUUUUCUCCUCUGAUGAGCGCAUGCCCGCCGAGGCCAGUCCUCUGCUGGGUGAGCUCAGGCCUCUGCUCAGGUGAGCUCCAGGCUCCACGUUUCCUUCCAGCUGGACAUGUUGGUCCAGCCGUGCAUUCAGAACAACACACACCUGUCCUGCCAGAGCACCUGGGGGCUUGGAGGACUCAGUGUCCUCAGGAGGCCACAUCCUACGGGGUCCUCCAAGCCACCCAUGAGGCAGAUGCUGAAACAAAGCACAGAUGGCGCUUUCCCUCAGGAAACCAAGCCCCCAGCAGCCCUGCCUCACCCCCGUCCCCUUCAGGAACCCAGAUAGGCUGGGAGCCGCCUUCUCACUUCCGUUUCAUCUUUUCUAAAAAUGGAAAGUUCUGACUCUGUCUGCAGGGGGCAAUGAGGGGCAGCCGGGUGGGAACCGCGGGCACUGCUGCCCAUCCCCCCCCAGGCCCUUGGUCCAGGUGCAGACCCUGGGAGGGGGUGGGCUUCACGAUGCCAUUUCCUUUUGAUGCAAAGGGCUGAGCCUCCAAGGGGGUAUGAGGAGCUCCUCUCCAGCCGUGCGGCCCCCCUGCCAGUCUGUCCUCUGCAAACUAGCGGGUCCCGCGGGUCACCCAGCUCUUCUGGCUCUGAUACCCAUCGUCCCAGAGGUCCUGCAAAGUCCAAAAUGGGUGGCUGCAGAGCCAACGGGGAGCAUGUCAACGCCUGGUGGAAGCAGGAAGCAUGGCACUUGCGAAGUGAAAAGGACGGAGCGAAUAUUGACGUGGUGGUGGUGGAGCUGGGGCAGCACUUUCUCCAGCCCCUCGUCACACAGACGCACACAUGCCUCCUGGACGAUCUGGACGCUGUGCAGAUGCCCGUCUGAGGUUGGGGACAGCCUACUGCACAGUUGCAGUGAGGUAGCAAGUGCUUCAGUUAUUGUUCUCUUCAGGAAUCUUUUUUCCUGCACCUGCAGCAUGCAGAAGUUCCCAGGCCAGGGAUAGAUCCCGCGCCAUAGCAGUGACGACACUAAAUUCUUAAUCUCUAGGCUGGCAAGGGAACGCCCACUCAGGAAUUCUUGUUCAGAUUUACCCCACAUUUAUCAGUUUGUUUUAAAACAAAAGUCUAUCAGUGUGAAGCUCUAAGGCUUUCCCAGUUAUGUCAAUGAAGUACACAGGCUUGGCGUUCCCGCUGUGGUGCAGUGGUUAACGAAUCCAACUAGGAACCACGAGGUUGUGGGUUCGGUUCCUGGCCUCACUCAGUGGGUUGAGGAUCCGGUGUUGCCGUGAGCUGUGGUGAAAGUUGCCGAUGUGGCUCAGAUCCCGUGUUGCUGUGGCUCUGGUGUAGGCUGGCAGCUACAGCUCCGACUGAGCCCCUAGCCUGGAAACCUCCAUAUACGACAGGCGUGGCCCUAGAAAAAAGACAU